rnacentral:tRNA from 1 species
GCCAGAGUGGCGGAAUUGGCAGACGCGCUGGAUUCAAAAUCCAGUGUCCGUUAAGGACGUGUCGGUUCGAGUCCGACCUCUGGUA